ensembl:lncRNA
UUCCCAGACGAUAAAACAAGAAAAGAGAGGUGACCUGGGUGGGAAUAAGGGUGAUGGUUUGGGGUCAGCAUGGUGUUGGUAGUGUGAUGGUUUGGGGUCAGCAUGGUGGUGGUAGUGUGAUGGUUUGGGCAUGGUGGUGGUAGUGUGAUGGUUUGGGGUCAGCAUGGUGGUGGUAGUGUGAUGGUUUGGGGUGGUGCAUGGUGGUGGUAGUGUGAUGGUUUGGGGUCAGCAUGGUGUUGGUAGUGUGAUGGUUUGGGGUCAGCAUGGUGGUGGUAGUGUGAUGGUUUGGGGUCAGCAUGGUGGUGGUAGUGUGAUGGUUUGGGGGUCCAGCAUGGUGGUGGUAGUGUGAUGGUUUGGGGUCAGCAUGGUGGUGGUAGUGUGAUGGUUUGGGGUCAGAAUGGUGGUGUGAUGGUUUGGGGUCAGCAUGGUGGUGGUAGUGUGAUGGUUUGGGGUCAGCAUGGUGGUGGUGGUAGUGUGAUGGUUUGGGGUCAGCAUGGUGGUGGUAGUGUGAUGGUUUGGGGUCAGCAUGGUGGUGGUACUGUGAUGGUUUGGGGUCCAGCAUUGUGGUGGUAGUGUGAUGGUUUGGGGUCCAGCAUGGUGGUGGUAGUGUGAUGGUUUGGGGUCAACAUGGUGGUGGUGGUAGUGUGAUGGUUUGGGGUCAGCAUGGUGGUGGUAGUGUGAUGGUUUGGGGUCAGCAUGGUGGUGGUGGUAGUGUGAUGGUUUGGGGUCAGCAUGGUGGUGGUAGUGUGAUGGUUUGGGGUCCAGCAUGGUGGUGGUAGUGUGAUGGUUUGGGGUCCAGCAUGGUGGUGGUAGUGUGAUGGUUUGGGGUCCAGCAUGGUGGUGGCAGUGUGAUGGUUUGGGGUCAGCAUGGUGGUGGUAGUGUGAUGGUUUUGGG